rnacentral:rRNA from 1 species
GUCGAACGAUGAAGCCCAGCUUGCUGGGUGGAUUAGUGGCGAACGGGUGAGUAACACGUGAGUAACCUGCCCUUAACUCUGGGAUAAGCCUGGGAAACUGGGUCUAAUACCGGAUAGGAGCGCCCACCGCAUGGUGGGUGUUGGAAAGAUUUAUCGGUUUUGGAUGGACUCGCGGCCUAUCAGCUUGUUGGUGAGGUAAUGGCUCACCAAGGCGACGACGGGUAGCCGGCCUGAGAGGGUGACCGGCCACACUGGGACUGAGACACGGCCCACACUCCUACGGGAGGCAGCAGUGGGGAAUAUUGCACAAUGGGCGCAAGCCUGAUGCAGCGACGCCGCGUGAGGGAUGACGGCCUUCGGGUUGUAAACCUCUUUCAGUAGGGAAGAAGCGAAAGUGACGGUACCUGCAGAAGAAGCACCGGCUAACUACGUGCCAGCAGCCGCGGUAAUACGUAGGGUGCGAGCGUUAUCCGGAAUUAUUGGGCGUAAAGAGCUCGUAGGCGGUUUGUCGCGUCUGUCGUGAAAGUCCGGGGCUUAACCCCGGAUCUGCGGUGGGUCGGGCAGACUAGAGUGCAGUAGGGGAGACUGGAAUUCCUGGUGUAGCGGUGGAAUGCGCAGAUUCAGGAGGAACACCGAUGGCGAAGGAGGUCUCUGGGCUGUAACUGACGCUGAGGAGCGAAAGCAUGGGGAGCGAACAGGAUUAGAUACCCUGGUAGUCCAUGCCGUACACGUUGGGCACUAGGUGUGGGGACCAUUCCACGGUUUCCGCGCCGCAGCUAACGCAUUAAGUGCCCCGCCUGGGGAGUACGGCCCGCAGGGCUAAACUCACAGGAAUUGACGCGGGCCCGCACUAGCGGCGGAGCAUGCGGAUUAAUUCGAUGGCCACGCGUGAACCUUACCAAGGCUUGACAUGUUCUCGAUCGCCGUAGAGAUACGGGGUUCCCUAUUGGGCG